AUCCCAUUCACUUAAUGGUAAAGUUUUACUCUCCUAAAGUAAAUUAUAUAAGUUCGAAUCUUAUAUGGGAUU
rnacentral:tRNA from 1 species